rnacentral:rRNA from 1 species
UACGGAGGGUGCAAGCGUUAAUCGGAAUUACUGGGCGUAAAGCGCACGCAGGUGGCUGAGUCAGUCGAUUGUGAAAGCCCUGGGCUUAACCUGGGAAUUGCAGUCGAUACUACUCAGCUAGAGUAUGGGAGAGGGUAGUGGAAUUCCCGGUGUAGCGGUGAAAUGCGUAGAUAUCAGGAGGAAUACCGGUGGCGAAAGCGACUCUCUGGACGGCAACUGACGCUGAGGCACGAAAGCGUGGGGAGCGAACAGG